rnacentral:rRNA from 1 species
AUGUUAGAUAUCUUGAAUCCAGUAAGAGCUAAAACUCAUUAUGUUCUUUGUUGUAGCAUAUUGGAUUGGACAGGGUGCCGUUUUGUUCGAAAGAUUGGAUUGAUGGGGGUAUUUGGUUUUAUGAUGGCCAGGUUGAUCAAAAUCACAUGGUCUUUUUUAUAUUGUGAGAAGAAAAAGACACCGGAACAGGCUAAAUGUUUGCAGACAGGGGAAACUGUUGCUGUUAAGAUGGUUUUUCAGGAUAAGCACUACAAGAACUGUGAGCUUCAGAUCAAACACCUACUUGACCACCCAAAUGUCUUAGGUCUAAAGCAUGGUUUCUUUUCCAAAACUGAGAAGGAUGAGCUCUUUAUGAACUUGGUUCUGGAUGGCUUGGUGGUGGGAAGGAAUAGGGCGGUGGAGGCAAGGCAGAGAGUGGGUGCUUCCCGCACUCGCCAGGCUAUCCGUGAUGCAUCUAAUAUGUUAGCAGUACCACGACACGACAUUGGCAGUGGCAUCUUGGGGGAAGAAGGGGAUGACAAUGACUUAGAGAGGAAGAUCACAAUGACAACUUGCAGCGUAAUAGGCUGA